GGGCAUGGUGGUGGGUGCCUGUAAUCCCAGCUACUUGGGGAGGCUGAGGCAGGAGAAUCGCUUGAACCCAGGAAGCAGCGAUUGCAAUGAGAUGAGAUCACAUCCCUGCACUCCAGUCUGGGUGACAGAGCAAGAAUCCAUCUCAAAAAAAAAAAAAAAAAAA